UUACGGUCAAAUCACGCUGAAACACCGGUUCUCGUUCGAUCACCGAAGUUAAGGAUCGUAGAGCCAGGUCAGUACUUAGAUGGGGGACCGCUUGGGAACACCUGGUACUGUAAG